AUUGAACGCUGGCGGCAUGCCUUACACAUGCAAGUCGAACGGCAGCACGGGAGCAAUCCUGGUGGCGAGUGGCGAACGGGUGAGUAAAGUAUCGGAACGUGCCCAGUCGUGGGGGAUAACGUAGCGAAAGUUACGCUAAUACCGCAUACGAUCUAUGGAUGAAAGCGGGGGAUCGCAAGACCUCGCGCGAUUGGAGCGGCCGAUAUCAGAUUAGGUAGUUGGUGGGGUAAAGGCUCACCAAGGCGACGAUCUGUAGCUGGUCUGAGAGGACGACCAGCCACACUGGGACUGAGACACGGCCCAGACUCCUACGGGAGGCAGCAGUGGGGAAUUUUGGACAAUGGGCGAAAGCCUGAUCCAGCAAUGCCGCGUGCAGGAAGAAGGCCUUCGGGUUGUAAACUGCUUUUGUACGGAGCGAAAAGGCUCUCUCUAAUACAGGGGGCUCAUGACGGUACCGUAAGAAUAAGCACCGGCUAACUACGUGCCAGCCGCCGCGGUA
rnacentral:rRNA from 1 species